rnacentral:rRNA from 2 species
AGAGUUUGAUCAUGGCUCAGAUUGAACGCUGGCGGCAGGCCUAACACAUGCAAGUCGAGCGGUAGCACAGAGAGCUUGCUCUCGGGUGACGAGCGGCGGACGGGUGAGUAAUGUCUGGGAAACUGCCUGAUGGAGGGGGAUAACUACUGGAAACGGUAGCUAAUACCGCAUAACGUCGCAAGACCAAAGUGGGGGACCUUCGGGCCUCAUGCCAUCAGAUGUGCCCAGAUGGGAUUAGCUAGUAGGUGGGGUAACGGCUCACCUAGGCGACGAUCCCUAGCUGGUCUGAGAGGAUGACCAGCCACACUGGAACUGAGACACGGUCCAGACUCCUACGGGAGGCAGCAGUGGGGAAUAUUGCACAAUGGGCGCAAGCCUGAUGCAGCCAUGCCGCGUGUGUGAAGAAGGCCUUCGGGUUGUAAAGCACUUUCAGCGGGGAGGAAGGCGUUAAGGUUAAUAACCUUGGCGAUUGACGUUACCCGCAGAAGAAGCACCGGCUAACUCCGUGCCAGCAGCCGCGGUAAUACGGAGGGUGCAAGCGUUAAUCGGAAUUACUGGGCGUAAAGCGCACGCAGGCGGUCUGUCAAGUCGGAUGUGAAAUCCCCGGGCUCAACCUGGGAACUGCAUUCGAAACUGGCAGGCUAGAGUCUUGUAGAGGGGGGUAGAAUUCCAGGUGUAGCGGUGAAAUGCGUAGAGAUCUGGAGGAAUACCGGUGGCGAAGGCGGCCCCCUGGACAAAGACUGACGCUCAGGUGCGAAAGCGUGGGGAGCAAACAGGAUUAGAUACCCUGGUAGUCCACGCCGUAAACGAUGUCGAUUUGGAGGUUGUGCCCUUGAGGCGUGGCUUCCGGAGCUAACGCGUUAAAUCGACCGCCUGGGGAGUACGGCCGCAAGGUUAAAACUCAAAUGAAUUGACGGGGGCCCGCACAAGCGGUGGAGCAUGUGGUUUAAUUCGAUGCAACGCGAAGAACCUUACCUGGUCUUGACAUCCACAGAACUUACCAGAGAUGCAUUGGUGCCUUCGGGAACUGUGAGACAGGUGCUGCAUGGCUGUCGUCAGCUCGUGUUGUGAAAUGUUGGGUUAAGUCCCGCAACGAGCGCAACCCUUAUCCUUUGUUGCCAGCGGUCCGGCCGGGAACUCAAAGGAGACUGCCAGUGAUAAACUGGAGGAAGGUGGGGAUGACGUCAAGUCAUCAUGGCCCUUACGACCAGGGCUACACACGUGCUACAAUGGCAUAUACAAAGAGAAGCGACCUCGCGAGAGCAAGCGGACCUCAUAAAGUAUGUCGUAGUCCGGAUUGGAGUCUGCAACUCGACUCCAUGAAGUCGGAAUCGCUAGUAAUCGUAGAUCAGAAUGCUACGGUGAAUACGUUCCCGGGCCUUGUACACACCGCCCGUCACACCAUGGGAGUGGGUUGCAAAAGAAGUAGGUAGCUUAACCUUCGGGAGGGCGCUUACCACUUUGUGAUUCAUGACUGGGGUGAAGUCGUAACAAGGUAACCGUAGGGGAACCUGCGGUUGGAUCACCU